GUAUAUAUGCAUAUUCAUUUUGAAAAAUUAAAUUGAGAUUAGCUUCCCAAAUGUUAUUUUCUUGCUUUUACAAUACCGCAGUUUUGUGUCCCAAGUUUCUUUUAUAUGUACCACUAGCACUUUAACUAGUGUGACCUUCUGAAGGGGAACCCCAAGGAGAAUUGUUUCUUCCUUUAAGCUUCUGACUCUUGUAAGGUAUUGCAGCAUGUUGAGGUUGUAGAUAUGUCAAUCUUAUGUUCUGACUGGUUUCUUUUUUUCUUUCUUUCAGAUUUUGACUAUUAGGAUACCAGUUUUCUCCUAAGGUACGACUAACAGGUGUCAAGCUGCUUGAAGGUUUGCUAGGUUGAUCUAGCUACAUAGUGCUUUAAGGCCUGAAUGUGGUAUGUUUCUUUGUCCCAUCACCUCUUUGAUUGUAGAAGCAACAUAAAUGGUUGUAGAAAGCAGGAGAAAAGGAAGAAAGAGAAGUUGUAAGUAAAAAAAAUCUGAAGUUGAGAAAUAUCAGCUCUGUCAGCUUCCUAUGAUGAAGUGGAGUAAAUGUGUUUUACGUAGGUAGAUACUAUUG
rnacentral:lncRNA from 1 species